rnacentral:rRNA from 1 species
UACAGAGGGUGCAAGCGUUAAUCGGAAUUACUGGGCGUAAAGCGCGCGUAGGUGGUUUGUUAAGUUGGAUGUGAAAUCCCCGGGCUCAACCUGGGAACUGCAUCCAAAACUGGCAAGCUAGAGUAUGGUAGAGGGUGGUGGAAUUUCCUGUGUAGCGGUGAAAUGCGUAGAUAUAGGAAGGAACACCCGUGGCGAAGGCGGCUCUCUGGGACGGUACUGACGCUGAGACGCGAAAGCGUGGGGAGCAAACAGG